rnacentral:lncRNA from 1 species
AAAUUAUAAACCUCAGAAUUACAAAGGAAAAUAAAGAAUAUUUGCUGCCAAACUGGUCACAGGGUGAGCUUCAUUCCCUGUACCUGAACAACAACAGAUAGACUGGGUACGUAUUCAUGGUUAAGAAAGAUCUAAUCAUCAGUAUCUUACCAAGGCAUGCCCUGAUUGUGCAACAGGCAAUGCAGGCUUAAUUCCAUUGGAGACCCAGGGAUCUUUGCACUGGUAAUGGAGGCAGAGGGUGCAGGAAGACAUGUCCCCAGGCUUUUUUCCACUGUGUCACUCAAGUCAUUCCCUCAGGGAGCAAAGUUUAUUCUUACAUUUUCCGAAUGCUAAUAAUAUUGCUCUUUCUGUUUUCCUUCAGACUCUUCCAUCACUAGUUGCAGUGCAAGAAUACAGGGCAGGGACCCAGAGGGAGGAGACGACAGUGCAGGACAGCUUUUUAAUGAAAAUGGAGUAAAGGCAGCAAGGAGCCCAGCUAAAUCUGAGGUUCAUUAGGGAACCCUGUAGAGGGGAAAUAGAAACCCAGUGCUCCUGUGGCUGCAGCUGCCUCCAAAUCACUAAUAUUUUCCUGUCUAUGUGAUGUAAGGAAAAAUGGAAGGAAGAACAGAAAGAUCCAAGGAACAGACAAAGCAUGGACAAGUGAAGAUGGUGACUUGCUCACUCUACUCAAUCUGGCCAGUACAAGUCUGCUUCAGGGUGGUGGACAGAUACAUACACAUUAAUGUGAUAGUAAGAUCAUGAGGCCCACUAUUCCAUCCAUUUUGGUUUAAGGGAAGAGGAAAUGUUCAAAAAUCUGCACCAUUUUUGUUGACAUAACUUGCGACAGUACCCAUCCUUAAAGACCUUUUGUCCACAAUAUGUAUUCUUCACAUACCUUGGUACCUAUGCUGAGUAGAAGCUUCAGUCUUCUUACACAAUCCAUAAAAAAGACACAGUAAAAAAGAAACAAAUUAUGUCAGAAUAACUGAAAGCUUAAUGGGAGCACAAAUGAGGCAAAAGUCACUAUAUUUGCAUUUAUUUUCACUGGUUCUCAGAUUUACAGGAGAUCCAGCAAUAUGUAAUUUGAUAGUAAGCCCAGCUAGUUACAGUAUCCAAGGAGAGUGAAAAUCCCCUCAAAUUGGAUGAAACUUGAUGCUGCCAGCAUACUGCUGAAUCCCCUCCAGUGCAUUUCCAAAUCACAUUCCUCCUUUGGUCUGCUGAGUGCUGCCCAAAGAAUCAACAGUAAAUCAAGCAACCUGCAAUAUACUACUUUUUUUUUUAUAAUGCAUCUAUAAAUUUCAUGGAACUAUGGAUUUCUUUUUAUGAAAUUUAAUUUGAGUCACUUGGGGAAACAUUUCCAUAUCGAAGGGAACUCCUGGCUUUCAUUGUACUUAUCCGUUGCUUUUACUGAAUUGCAAAUGCUUUGAUUUAAAGGGGCAUGGCCGAGGGAAAGCCUGCCUGCUAACAAAAGCUUUAGGAUCCAUUUCCACUUGGCAUGAUAACACAGGGCAGCUGCUGAGCUGAGCCAUCUCACGUCCACCAGCCACUUAAGGAUGGGAAUGGUGAACACAGGCUCAUGACUGGUGAUGCCUUUUCCACCUCCUGGUUUGCUGUGUCAUCAAGAGGACAAGGCAAGAGACUGGCCAUCAUUUCCAGCAUGACCGAGUGAGGGACAGAGCUACUGCCAACACCCCUUAAGGUGCACAUCUACCCGGUGCCAGCACCAACUUCUGCAUUCCCAUCCUGGGGUUUCUGUGAACAGGGCUUUUCAAGAGCUUGUGGGUCUAAGCGAAAUAAUUGGUGGACAGUUUAAAGUGGGCCACACCUUCAUGACACCAAAACUGAUUGGAAAUGACAUUAAAAAAGUAAGACUGUUCUGUAUGCUUCUUGGAUGCCUUGGGCAAUUUUGUGAAAAGCUCUGCUCCCAUGGUGUUUUGUAACACAAUCUGAGGUGCAAAUGGGUCACAUUUUGCUCUUGGUAAAACAGAGAGAAGAGGCCAGUGCAGCAGCUCAUGGCUCAUAAACUAAUACUAAAUGGUCUGUGAAAGGUAGUUAGGAAAUGCAGCUGCACUACCAGCAGUCUUCAGAUCAGUAAGCAUAGAUGCAACAGAAAACAUUAAGAGGGCAAAAAAUAAGAAAUGGCUGAAAAUAUCCAGGUUAGAGAAUGAAAAGGGAGUACAAACGAAUAAAUCAGGCUGAGGCUUACA